GCGGCCCCGGCUCGGCCGAGGCCGCUCGGGCUCCGCUCGCCCCUCCCGCCGCCGUCUCGCCGCAGCCCCGCGGAGCCGGACCCGGGUCCCACCAAGGGCCAAGUGACUUCCCAAGAGUUUUCUCCCACUCUCCUGUUGAUGUGCCCUGUGUCUCCAUGUGCUGGGGAAUGGUAAAAACAGGAUCCACUGGGAAUUUUUAGCACUUUAAGCUACAACAAUGGUGGCACAUGUGCUGUUCCAGUGGAUUCUAAGAGGGCUUAUUCUGACUUUUCUGCUCAAAACUACUCUGUCCCUAAAUCCAGAUGAUCCCAAUGUUUGUAGUCAUUGGGAAAGCUACGCCGUGACCGUGCAGGAAUCUUACGCUCACCCCUUUGACCAGAUCUACUACACACGAUGCACAGACAUCCUCAACUGGUUCAAGUGCACCAGGCACAGGAUCAGCUACAAGACCGCGUAUCGCAGGGGGCUGCGCACGAUGUACCGCCGGCGCUCGCAGUGCUGCCCCGGCUACUACGAGAGCAGCGACUACUGCAUCCCACUGUGCACAGAGGAGUGUGUGCAUGGAAGAUGUGUCUCUCCUGACACGUGUCACUGUGAACCAGGCUGGGGAGGGACUGAUUGCUCAAGUGGCUGUGACAGCGAGCACUGGGGGCCGCACUGCAGCAACCGCUGCCAGUGCCAGAACGAAGCGCUCUGCAACCCCAUCACGGGCGCCUGCGUGUGUGCCGACGGCUUCCGCGGCUGGCGCUGCGAGGAGCUCUGCGAGCCGGGCACCUACGGCAAGGGCUGCCACUUCCAGUGCCAGUGCCACCACGGCGCCACCUGCGACCACCAGACCGGCGAGUGCCACUGCGCGCCCGGAUACACCGGCGUGUUCUGUGAGGAGCUGUGUCCCCCCGGCAGCCACGGGGCGCAGUGCGAGCUGCGCUGCCCCUGCCAGAACGGCGGCGUUUGUCACCACGUCACCGGGGAGUGCUCCUGUCCUGCUGGAUGGAUGGGGCUGGUGUGUGCACAGCCUUGUCCUCCUGGAACCUUUGGAAUUAACUGCAGCCAGGACUGUCCAUGCCACAACGGAGGGCACUGUGACCCCGUGACAGGAAAAUGCCUGUGUACAGCUGGCUAUAUAGGAGACAGGUGCCAGGAGGAGUGUCCCAUCGGCACCUACGGCUUCCAGUGCGCGCAGACCUGCGCCUGCCAGAACGGCGCCAAGUGCUACCACGUCAACGGGGCCUGCAUCUGUGACCCCGGCUUCAAAGGCAUCCACUGCCAGGAAAGGAUGUGUCCUGAAGGCUUCUAUGGCCUCAAAUGCAACAAGAGAUGCCCCUGCAAUAUUACCAACACCCUCAGUUGCCAUCCUCUGUCUGGGGAGUGCAGCUGCAAGGCUGGCUGGGCUGGGCUCUACUGCAACGAGACGUGUCCCGUGGGCUACUACGGCGAGGGCUGCCAGGUGCCCUGUCCCUGCCACAACGGGGCCGACUGUGACAGCAUCACUGGCAGCUGCAUCUGUGCCCCAGGCUUCAUGGGAGAUGACUGCACCAUUCCCUGCGAGGCAGGCACCUACGGCACCAAUUGCUCGUCGGUUUGUAACUGCAAGAACGAUGGCACUUGUUCCCCUGUGGAUGGGCUGUGCUACUGCAAGGAAGGGUGGCAAGGAGUGGAUUGCUCCAUUCCCUGUUCAAGUGGAAGCUGGGGUCUGAACUGUAACCAGACGUGUUCCUGCAGCAAUGGAGCAUCCUGCAGGCCAGACGAUGGCUUCUGCCUCUGCUCCCCGGGAUGGCAGGGGGACUUCUGUGACCAGCCUUGUCCUGAUGGAACAUAUGGCCUUAAUUGCAGUGAGCGUUGUGACUGCAACCACGCAGAUGGGUGUGAUCCUGUCACUGGGUACUGCUGCUGCCUUGCAGGCUGGACAGGCAUCCACUGUGACAACAUCUGCAGCCAGGGCCGCUGGGGACCCAACUGCUCCAUCUCCUGCAGCUGUGAGAACGGGGGAUCCUGCUCCCCUGAGGAUGGAACCUGUGACUGUGCACCGGGAUACAGAGGGCCCUUGUGCCAGAGAAUUUGCCCCCCCGGUUUUUACGGCCACCACUGCAGCCAGCCGUGUCCCCAGUGCGUGCACAGCAAUGGUCCCUGCCACCACGUGUCCGGGCACUGCGACUGCCUGCCGGGCUUCUCCGGCCCCCUCUGCAACCAAGUGUGUCCCAGUGGGAAGUUCGGGAAGGACUGUGCUGAGGUGUGUCAGUGCACCGAGAACGGGACCUGCAACCCCAUCGACGGCUCGUGCCAGUGCUUCCCAGGCUGGAUAGGCAUGGACUGCUCCCAGACUUGUCCCACUGGGUUUUGGGGCCCUGAUUGCUUUCAUUCAUGCAACUGCCACAACGGAGCACUGUGCAGCCCCUACGAUGGAGAAUGUAGAUGCACCCAUGGUUGGACGGGGCUCUACUGCACUCAGCGUUGCCCAGCUGCUUUUUAUGGGAAGAACUGUGCCAAUGUGUGCCAGUGCCAGAACGGAGCCGACUGUGACCACAUCACUGGGCAGUGCACGUGCAGGACAGGAUUUACAGGCAAACAGUGUGAGCAGAAGUGCUCUCCAGGAACAUUUGGUUAUGGUUGCAAACAACUGUGUGAGUGCAUGAACAAUGCAACGUGUGACCACGUCACAGGCACUUGCUACUGCAGUCCAGGCUUCAAAGGGAUCCGAUGUGAUCAAGCGGCUCUUAUGAUGGAAGAAUUAAACCCCUAUACUAAAAUUAGCCCUGCUCUUGGAUCAGAGAGGCACUCAGUGGGAGCAAUCAUUGGAAUUAUUAUUCUCCUUCUAAUUAUUAUGGUCUUGCUGGCACUCUUUGUGUGGUAUCGACGGAAACAGAAGGAGAAGGGCCAUGACAUGCCAAGUGUAUCUUACACUCCAGCCAUGAGGAUGACUAAUACAGAUUACUCACUUUCUGGUGCUUGUGGGAUGGAUAGACGUCAGAACACAUACAUAAUGGAAAAAAGCUUCAAAGACAGCGGGGGCAGCUGGGAUUGCAGCUAUUUUGCAAGUCCCCCUAUUUCACCGGGAGUAUUUCAUAUAUACCAGGAUCUGCCUUUGUACUGUAACCCAGCACAAGAAAAUGCCUCAUCUUUCAUUGCAUCGCUCUAAUUCUAAAUUACUGGCACUGCCCAGCAGGAUGCACACAGCAGCAAUGAUUAUAUGAAAGAAUCUGUGUGCAGCUCCAGCACUUGUUCCCUGAACAGCAGUGAAAACCCAUACGCCACCAUUAAAGACCCCCCCAUUUUAACCUGCAAACACUCCGAGAGCAGCUACGUGGAAAUGAAAUCGCCUGGUCACAGGGAGUCCCCGUAUUCCGAAAUGCCAACUUCAUCAACAGCCAACAAAAACAUCUACGAAGUUGAGCCCACUGUCAGCAUAGUCCAAGACACCCGCAGUCGGAGUGCCAGCUACCUUCAGAAUCCCUACGACCUGCCUAGGAACAGUCACAUUCCCGGUCACUACGACCUGCUCCCCGUCCGGCACAGCCCCACGCACGGGCCUUCCUGGGACAAGCAGUCCUAGAGGGAUGGACUUCACUGGGCACUGUGCUGCCAACACAGACUGUGAGGAAGCAGAGGAGAAGCCAUUCCUUCCUUUCCUGCGGACUGGCAAGGACUUAACACGACAUCAGCUUGGGCCAACUGCUGCUGCAUGAUGUUAUUUAUAAAGACAUUUUUGUAUGGGUACCUGGAACUAACGAGAGCCUCCUCCACGUGGCACUGGAGCACAUCACCCCAGGAAGGUGUCUUCAUGCUCCAGGCAAAAACUCUCUGUGGCGUGUUCUAACCCUGGCUUUGCUGUAAAAUAAACCACAAAAACAUGCUAAGUAGAAGGACUUCAAGAUUUACAUUUCUACCAACUGCAUCAAGAAACCUUUUACUGUUAGGAACAAGGUGACUAGGAAUACGCUGGAAUUUUUCAUCUUUGUCAAGGGAAUGGACAUUUUUCUGAAUGAGAGCAGGGAAACUUGUCAUUUCACUGUCUGGAAAGCUCAUUUACUGCCAUCACCAUGUGCAACCUGUGCAGAUCAUGCUUGGUAAUUAACAUUGAGAUUGUCAUCUCUAUAUUCAGUACCAGAGAAUUUGAGUUGAGGAAUAUUAACACAGACACUUUCUGUGCAGUUUUUAAUAUCUUUCCAAACAUCCCCUGAUCUUUGCUAAUGAAUGGAGUUUCCACAAUGAGUCUCACACCCACUUACCACACUUUUAACGGUGAUUGGCACAGGUAGGCUUUGACUUUCCUUAUGCAGCUUCUAUUUUGGUAGCUAAAUCCAGCAGAUCUGUCAGGCAGUUUAAACUGCUGCCCCUCCAAUUCCUGCCCUGGGACGCUGCAGGUUUGCACAGACCAGGCCUGGUUUCAUUUCCUUUCUCCAAGCUGAGCCACAUCGGCUUCUCUCUCCCAUCUCCCCAAACCAUCUCCUCAUGAUUCACUGUCAGCAUGCCACUGAUGACACCUCAAUCUGAUGUGCAUUACCAUGUAGUGCAAAUUUAUCCGUUGAUGAUUCUACCUGAAAUGUCAUUAAAUGGUGCUGAAACUGGGUUUUCUUUUUCAGCAGCUGUUUGUGAAGUAAUUAUCAAGGGUCUGACCUAUGGUAAAAUUUUGGACUGAGCCACCAUGAUAUUUUUUUUAAUUUAUAAUCUCUAUUGACCUAGAAAGUAGAGCACUUGCCGUUAGUUCCUUGUAGAUUUUGAGCAUGAAGUAGUAUUGACUCUAAGUAAAUAAUUUUAUUAGGCAAACGUGGAAGUAGCAAGUUGAUUGCCUUUUAAAUAUAGCAGAUAUUCUGUUGCACAUUCGCCAGUCUGAUGGAAGCAGAAGAGGACGACACCAGCCCCGUGGGUUUGCUCCCAGCACGAUGCCAGGAGUGACCUGCAGGGCUCAGGACUGGCAAGAGGAGCCCUCCAGCUCGGGGGCAGCAGCUGGAUCCCAGCUCUGGGAACACUCCUGGAGCACCGUGGAGGCACCCAGCCAUGUCCCCACGGAUGGGCUCAGCCCUCAGGCCUGGGGUCACAGCCCCUGGCUCUGGGCAUUCUGCCCCGGGAGCCUUUCCCCUUGGAGCCAGGACUCUCCAGGUGCUCAGGCUGGCUCUGAACCCCAGUCUGAACCUGGACACCCCCAGGACACCCCCAGGCUCCUGGAGCAGGCACUGCCUGAGCUGCAGGAUCCUGCCCACGAGGUUUCCCGAAUGCUGCAUGUGUGCAUGGGGGCCGUGGCUGAUCAGCAAUAGCAGUUUUGUUUUCCAGGAAAGCCUUAUUUGAGAUGCAAGGAAACAAUUAUUUUGUAGGCCCAGUAGGAAUAUAUUUUGCAUACAUGAAUAGAAAGGUUUACCUCAAAAAUACCAAGAGAAAGACAGUUGGAUAAGGAAUACUCUCAUUAAGACCCACCUUGGCACCCAGCACAAGCAGCCUGAGCUGCUGGCCUGACCCACGUCUGUGUGUUGCUGUAGUAUGCAAUGGGACUCCAGAGAGCAGAGAUGUGCUCAGUUGUUUGGUUUGGUUUUUUUCACAGCAGGAUUUUGAAACCAAAUGCAAUGAUGUGCAUAGAGCUUAACAGGAAAAAAAAAAAAAAGGCAAAACCAACAAAAAAGUACCUUCUUGUAUAUCAGCGUUAGCUUAGGAAACAGGCACCAAAAUGGCAAUACUUUUUUAAGGCAAGACAGAUUUGUAAUAUAUUUGUUCACUGUGCAAAGGUAUCCUACCUUGUACAAAAUAAAUUGAAUUUCUCUCAA